CCUACGGGUGGCAGCAGUGAGGAAUAUUGGUCAAUGGGCGAAAGCCUGACCCAGCCAAGUCGCGUGAGGGAUUAAGGCCCUGCGGGUCGUAAACCUCUUUUGCCGGGGAGCAGUGGUCCGGACGCAUCCGGCCCGGUAUAGUACCCAGAGAAAAAGCAUCGGCUAACUCCGUACCAGCAGGCGCGGUAAUAAGGAGGAUGCGAGCGUGCUCCGGCUUUAUUGGGUUUAAGGGGGGCGUGGGCGGGCAUUUAAGCCGGCGGGCAAAUGUCGGGGCUCAACCCCGGCCUGCCGUCGGAACUGGGGGCCUUGAGUGGGCGAGAAGUAUGCGGAAUGCGUGGUGUAGCGGUGAAAUGCAUAGAUAUCACGCAGAACCCCGAUUGCGAAGGCAGCAUACUGGCGCCCGACUGACGCUGAGGCACGAAAGUGCGGGUAUCGAACAGGAUUAGAUACCCGUGUAGUC
rnacentral:rRNA from 1 species